AGUGAACGCUGGCGGUAGGCCUAACACAUGCAAGUCGAACGGCAGCACAGUAAGAGCUUGCUCUUACGGGUGGCGAGUGGCGGACGGGUGAGGAAUACAUCGGAAUCUACUUUUUCGUGGGGGAUAACGUAGGGAAACUUACGCUAGUACCGCAUACGACCUACGGGUGAAAGCAGGGGAUCUUCGGACCUUGCGCGAUUGAAUGAGCCGAUGUCGGAUUAGCUAGUUGGCGGGGUAAAGGCCCACCAAGGCGACGAUCCGUAGCUGGUCUGAGAGGAUGAUCAGCCACACUGGAGCUGAGACACGGUCCAGACUCCUACGGGAGGCAGCAGUGGGGAAUAUUGGACAAUGGGCGCAAGCCUGAUCCAGCCAUACCGCGUGGGUGAAGAAGGCCUUCGGGUUGUAAAGCCCUUUUGUUGGGAAAGAAAAGCAGCAGGUUAAUACCCCGCUGUUCUGACGGUACCCAAAGAAUAAGCACCGGCUAACUUCGUG
rnacentral:rRNA from 1 species